rnacentral:lncRNA from 1 species
AACCAACUCUGGGUGAGACCCAAAUGUCCUUCAUCCUCCUUUGAGCCCUGGUUUCUGUGGGAAGAAAACGAAGAUGUAAAAAAGGAUCAAAAUAUACUAUUGUCAGACCCCUAUCCUGCACUGCUAGGAGGUGAGGACCAUUUAGGUGUACAUUUGUUCAUAAUCUAGACAUAGUCUAGAAGACGCUGUCAGAUGUUGUCAUAAUCUCAACAAUGACUAAAGACAUUUCAGGCUUCAGAAGGACCAAAAUGAAUAAUGAAGUUGCAAGCAGACCUCACAUACAAAAUGCAGCUACAGAUUAUUUCAGACCUUAGGGGAAAAAAUGAUAUUAUAAAACAUUCCUCUGCCCACCUGUGCUAUGCCCAAUGUGAUCCAAGCUAAAUCCUUACAGCAAUGCAGCUAAUAAACAUCCAGUGCACAGGUGGGCCAGACACAAGCUCUGUGUGAAUAAGUGUGUGCACGGGAGAGAAAGCAAGGCUGGAUUCUCAGUGUACUGGCUGCUGAAUUAUAUUUAAUGAUUUACAGUCCAUGAAGACACCGUGUGGAGUGAUGAAGAAUAGCAGGUUUGUAGGAGAAGUCAGAACAAAACUAGAAUUAUGACCAGAUACAUUUUGUUAAGUCUGAAAGCAUUUGGGCCAAGAAAAUAACUUUCUGUACUUGGAAGAAAGGCAGAAACAAACAAGCAGUGCAGGCAGAGGACAGCGGAGAGUCACAAGCUGACAUUGUUGGGAUAUGACACCAUAAAAAAGUGCAGUAAAAAAGAAAUGUCCUUGCAUUAUUCUUUCUUUGCAGAGCUGAGUACACAGUAAUAACCUAAGAGCUGCACAUUAUUUUUGCUCAUUGUUGGAUGGGAACUGUCCCAACAGCAGCAAUUCAGGUUGUAUUUCAGACUUUAAUUCCACUGGACCUUAUAAAAAGAUUAUUUAGUAUAUUUGAAUUUGAUUUUGAGAUAUUUUUUUCUUAAUUAUGAAAAAUCAUCUCUUACAGAGAUGAUUUCCCUGAAUUUUAAAUAGACCCUAUACCUUAAGUGGAAAAAAAAAAAUGCUGAAACUAUCUGUGGUGACUCUUU